rnacentral:rRNA from 1 species
UACCUACGGGAGGCAGCAGCCGCGGUAAUACGUAGGGGGCAAGCGUUAUCCGGAAUCACUGGGUGUAAAGGGAGCGUAGACGGCUGUGCAAGCCUGAAGUGAAAGGCGGGGGCCCAACCCCCGGACUGCUUUGGGAACUGUACGGCUGGAGUGCAGGAGAGGUAAGUGGAAUUCCUAGUGUAGCGGUGAAAUGCGUAGAUAUUAGGAGGAACACCAGUGGCGAAGGCGGCUUACUGGACUGUAACUGACGUUGAGGCUCGAAAGCGUGGGGAGCAAACAGGAUUAGAUACCCGUGUAGUCCCUAC